rnacentral:lncRNA from 1 species
UCUUAUUUUGAGGAUUUCUUUAUUGGGCAUCCUGCAGUUAGCCACUGUUUGUUCGUUCCUUCAUCAUGGCUGCCAGACCAGUUGGACUUUGAAGCUUCCUUUCAGAAGAUCCUUCUGGGCAAGGACCUGCUGACUCAGGUGACUGUAAUAGAGGUGUGGACCACCUGCUCUCUGCCAUCACUGUGCGUGGGAAGCCCAGUAGCUGUUCCAGGUAGAAAACCCUGCAGGGGUUUGACAUGCUCUUCAAGGUGCCCACCAUCAGCCAGGUACUUUCUAUCAUCUCAUGGUUGGCUCACAGCAGCGCAUGAAGCUAGAAUACUGAGAAUGAUGGCUCUGGGUGUGCAUCCUGUGUACUAAAUGGAUUUUACAAGUGUAAAUGUAAAGUGAAAUCGAGAGCUGUGUGGUGUCACUGUCUGUGCAGAGCAUGACAAAAUGCAGAAAACCAUAUCUUCAUAGGUUACUCCUGUAUCUUUGCAUCAUUAGGACAGCACAUCCUCCCUCUUGGUCUCGGUGUUAAUGACCUUUAACCUCACUGAGGAGGAGUGACGUGAUGUAAAAGUGUCAGGACUUUUGUGUUUUAAAUAAAAUUAUUUAUUGAAGCUGGUCUGUUCA